rnacentral:rRNA from 1 species
AAAGAAUUGUUUUUGGACAAUUUGUGGGAUGAUGGAUUAUUAUUUGAUAUUAAUGAAUAAUCUCGCAAUCUCGGGGCGUCUCAUUCUGACAGUGUCGAGAAGAGGCGCACCUUGAGCGUACACGUUGGGACCCGAAAGAUGGUGAACUAUGCCUGGCGAGGACAAAGUCAGGGGAAACCCUGAUGGAGGUCCGUAGCGAUUCUGACGUGCAAAUCGAUCGUCGGAGCUGGGUAUAGGGGCGAAAGACCAAUCGAAUCAUCUAGUAGCUGGUUCCCUCCGAAGUUUCCCUCAGGAUAGCUGGCACUCGUACUACUAUAAUAAUAAU